rnacentral:lncRNA from 1 species
GCGGUGAGACCAGCGGCCGUAGCGAUGACAACGCUGAGACGAUUCGCAAGCGCUUCAAGACGUUUCUGGAGCAGUCGCUUCCUGUGAAGGACCAUUACCUGGCUCAGGGCAAGUGCCACGUCAUCAGUGCCGUUCCGUCGCCGGAGGAGGUGUACGGGAAGGUGAAGGCUGUGCUGACCAGCCUUCACGCGCCGGAAAAGGUGAGCAAAGUAAUUUCUUGGCGCGAUACGUUUUCCGUGGCAUCAUCACUUUCGAUGAUUUUACGCUGGUCCGUGCACUCGUUGUGGGUCAGAGCGCUGGACGUGGCUAUAAGUGUUAGCGCAAAAGAGUGAGGAGUCGCAACAUGACAAGCUGGAACAUGGCACGUGGUUUGGAUUGCUCCCUUGCUUCGGAUCGAUUUGUGGAAUACAAUUGCUGUCCCAUUACGACUGCCUUAUCCGGCACCAACACUUUACCGAACACGAUCCAUUUCGUUUUCCAGUCAAACGGAGUCGUGCACUGUGAGCUGCAGGAUUAGCUAUUCCUGUAUAAUUGAAACAAAUUUUGCAUGCCUGCAGUUUGCGCUGCCCCCAGUACAUGGCAGCCUGCCGGAUGAUGCUCAGAUCAUCUUCGUGCUUGGUGGGCCAGGCAGCGGCAAAGGCACGCAGUGUGCGCAAAUCCUUGAGGAGUACGAAUGCGUGCACCUCAGCGCUGGUGAUUUGCUUCGUGCCGAGGUCAAGAGCGGCAGCGUCGUGGGCAGGAAGUGCGAGGAGCUGAUGCGCGAAGGCAAGCUGGUGCCUUUCGCUGUGACGCUGAACCUGCUGAAGAAGGCCAUGAUUGAGAGUGGCGGCAAGUUCUUCCUCAUCGACGGCUUCCCACGCGCCCUGGACCAGGCGGAGCAGUUUGAGAGCAACAUCAUGCCAUGCAAAGCCGUGCUGUUCUUUGACUGCCCUGAGGAGGAGAUGGAGAAGCGGCUGCUGAAGCGCGGUGAGACCAGCGGCCGUAGCGAUGACAACGCUGAGACUAUUCGCAAGCGCUUCCAUACAUUCCUGGAGCAGUCGCUUCCUGUCAAGGACCAUUACCUGGCUCAGGGCAAGUGCCACAUCAUCAGCGCCGUUCCGCCACCAGGGGAGGUUUUCGAAGUUGUGAAGAAAGUGCUGGACGGCAUUUCCGCACCAAGAAAAUCUGAUGUAAGUGACUUAUCAGUUCGUGUCAUGUGGGGUCCAAUGCGAUGAUCCCUCCUGCCAUGGCCUGGUCUGGCAUACAUCACGUAUGCCAGGCGACUGGCAAUUACGGCUCUGCCACACCCCGUGGUGCCGUAUCAUUGGCAAGAGAAUGGGCCCGAAUGUCGAGAAACCCCACGUCCAUGCGUGCAGUACAUACCAUAUCUAUGCGUCGCCACACUCUGCCAUUGUCCAACGUGUUAGGGUUCAUGCUGGAAUUGAGCACUGGGCCUAAUGCCUCAUUUUUAUUUGGAUGGUGACAUGUGACAGCAGUGCGUGCAAUGGCGCAGGUCAUGCUUUGGUGACAGUGAUACGGAACACAGCUUUCAUAAUCUUUCCGUGUCCGCGCCAAAUGCACAUACCCCGCAAACAGGGGAACUGAGUGAUGUGCUUCUCGGUUUCGCUUUUGCGCAAUGCUACAGUCAGACAUAGAAUGAAUGCGUCAUGUGCUUUGGUAAUUGUAGGAGAUUGCCCUGCCGCCUGUGAAGGGCAGCCUGCCGGAGGAUGCUCAAAUUAUCUUUGUGCUUGGUGGGCCAGGCAGCGGCAAAGGCACGCAGUGUGCGCAAAUCCUUCAGGAGUACGAAUGCGUGCACCUCAGCGCUGGUGAUUUGCUUCGUGCCGAGGUCAAGAGCGGCAGCGUCGUGGGCAGGAAGUGCGAGGAGCUGAUGCGCGAAGGCAAGCUGGUGCCUUUCGCUGUGACGCUGAACCUGCUGAAGAAGGCCAUGAUUGAGAGUGGCGGCAAGUUCUUCCUCAUCGACGGCUUCCCACGCGCCCUGGACCAGGCGGAGCAGUUUGAGGGCAACAUCAUGCCAUGCAAGGCCGUGCUGUUCUUUGACUGCCCUGAGGAGGAGAUGGAGAAGCGGCUGCUGAAGCGCGGUGAGACCAGCGGCCGUAGCGAUGACAACGCUGAGACUAUCCGCAAGCGCUUCCAUACAUUCCUGGAGCAGUCGCUUCCUGUCAAGGACCAUUACCUGGCUCAGGGCAAGUGCCACAUCAUCAGCGCCGUUCCGCCACCAGGGGAGGUUUUCGAAGUUGUGAAGGAGGUGCUGGAUAAGCUCCAUUCCCCAAGAAAGCCUCAGGUAACGUUAGCUGAGUGACUAGGGAUGGACUCAGUCCUGGACGUGUGGCAAGCUACUUUCUUGGGAUGGCUCGCCGACCCACAUCGGUGUGCCAGCUGCAGGCUUACACCUUUCGAGCCACCCUGUAGGGUUUGGGGAUAGCUUUAGCUUAUGAGGAGACAGGGUUGUGUAAUCGAUUGCACCGCUCGAUCGGUUGUCAACUUAAAUUGUUGGCAUGCUGCGAUGUUGCUUCAUGAGGGCCAGUGGUGCAAAACAAUGUCCUUAUAGCAUGUGGGGCUUUGAGAGCGACUGAGUGCUAACUGUGCGCGUUUAUGCCUGAGGCGCUUACCUGGUUGGACCAUGGCUAAAUGAGAGUGUUUUAGCUCUUUUUUGUCAUGGAGCACUUGACGUCAUCGGUCAUGGCGAGGCUUUAUCAUCUCUCGCGUCUGUCAAGCUGGGCAUUGGCUUGUCCCUACGAAACAGGGCAUUCAUAUUCAACUGCAUUUGCUGCAAUGUGUUCCGGCCCGCCUGUGUUCAUGAAGCCAGCAAAUCAUUACACGUCGACGGCAGCGUAAUACGUGUAACCUGAUACGUGGCCUACUCGGCCUGACUGAUUUCUUGGUGACCGCUGUACGACCGUUGUGCCUUUGUAGGAGAUUGCCCUACCGCCUGUGAAGGGCAGCUUGCCGGAGGAUGCUCAAAUUAUCUUUGUGCUUGGUGGGCCAGGCAGCGGCAAAGGCACGCAGUGCGACAAGAUCAAACAGGACUAUAAAUGCGUACACCUCAGCGCUGGUGAUCUGCUUCGUGCCGAGGUCAAGAGCGGCAGCGUCGUGGGCAAGAAGUGCGAGGAGCUGAUGCGCGAAGGCAAGCUGGUGC